rnacentral:tRNA from 1 species
CCCUGGUUAGCUCAGUUGGUAGAGCGCUCCACCUGUAAUGGAGAGGUCCCGGGUUCGAUACCCCGGACCAGGCG